ACGGAUGUUGUCUAUUUGACAUGAGCAGUCCUCCAAUCGCAUCUGUUGAUGGAGAGCGGUAGAGAGCUCCCAGGAGUCAUCAGACUGACCUUGUUCGAUAAUUCCAUCACAAACCCAAUAGUUGGAAGCGUGGGUAGUCCAAUUGUAGUCCAUGGUACCACCACCCCUUCUAUUAUUCAACCACUUUUCAUGAUUCAACCACAAUAUGUAGGAGAUACACUUGGCAGCUAUUGUUGGGGUGAUGCUCUGCUUAUGCUGUAUGGACUUGACAAUUUCUGUAGCCUCAUCCAAUAUUAGUUUAGCAUAUAUGUCAUCGUCGAAGGUCCUGUAAAGAGGCUGAUAAAUAUACAAAUGUGAACUGUCCACCUUGUCUUUUACUUGCGGGUUGAGCCGAAGCCUUCCUCUGAAAGUCCACAGUAUCUUAGAACCAAGGAAUUCAGGUCGUGGAAUACCACAACUAGCCAAGUCCACCGUAUCAUUGCUUCCAUUGUGAAAGACAACUAAGUAUCUGCAUCAUACCAGGGAUUCAGUUAUCAGCCACCAAACUUCUCCAAUCUCAGCUCUAGAACCUUCAUCUACUCCGCUGAAAUCAUCCUCCUCAUCUUGCCUGUUGAAAGCCGCCAUUACCCUCUGAGUAAGGUUGAGUUCAUCAGCGAUCACCCUCUGGAGUGCCCUUCGGCUCUUCCACAUCGAGCAAUCAAUGUGGAGGAUCUUGUCAAAUUUCUUCUUCAGAGAUGGUGGAGGGUCCUCUGCUAUAGCUCUGAGCACAGCAGAAGCAGCCAGUCCAUCCCAUCCGUCAAAGUAGAUGGCCUUGUGUGCAGUUGUUCCGGUAUCCUCCAACAAAGGGAUUAUUCUUUCAACCGCCGCCUCGACUCUGUACUCAUCAAGCUGCAUGACACGAUUUAUCAGUUGACGUCACUCUCGACCCCAUAAACUUGGAUGGCAUUGUUUCCAUACAGGUCAAGGAGCUUGAUUACUCGAAGCUUGCAAAGGUUCUGCAGUUGUCCCCAUGCAAGGUUGCUGCGCCAAAUCCUUCCAUUCUUUACAUGAAUCUCUCUGAUGUUUACAGCCAUCUGCUCUAUCGAGUCUUGCAAUAGAUCCAAUUCCCAAUCCAUGUUCCUAACAUCUAGCACCCAUAGGCUAUGGAGAUAUUUCGUUGUUGGUCUCCUUUGCCUGUCCUCUUCUUCCUGCGGUUGAUCUUUGCAUUUCUCUAAUCCAAGGAAUCUUAGGCUAUGGCAACAGCAGAAUGGAGGGGAAUAGAAGCUGAAAUUGCAUCCAGACAGUUUCAGUACACGAAGUCUAUACGACUGUUGAAACAUUUUAGGUGGCAAUGAUAAUCCGUUUUUGGCACUAAGGAAAUAGGAUGAUGUCCCUUCUUCAAUGUUAGAUGGAUCUUCAAUGACAGACUUCCAUUGUUCCCUGUAUUCAUGACCACUGAACUUGACUGUUGGAGAUGAGCAGUCCUCUAAUCGUAUCUGUUGAUGGAGAGCGGUAGAGAGCUCCCAGGAGUCAUCAUCAGACUGACCUUCUUCGAUAAUUCCAUCACAAACCCAAUAGUUGGAAGCGUGGGUAGUCCAAUCGUAGUCCAUGGUACCACCACCCUUUUGAUUAAUCAACCACAAUAUGUAGGAGAUACACUUGGCAGCUAUUGUUGGGGUGAUGCUCUGCUUAUGCUGUAUGGACUUGACAAUUUCUGUAGCCUCAUCCAAUAUUAGUUUAGCAGUGUCAUGAUCGAAGCUCCAGUCAAUAGGCCGAUAAAUAUACAAAUGUGAACUGUCCACCUUGUCUUUUACUUGCGGGUUGAGCCGAAGCCUUCCUCUGAAAGUCCACAGUAUCUUAGAACCAAGGAAUUCAGGUCGUGGAAUACCACAACUAGCCAAGUCCACCGUAUCAUUGCUUCCAUUGUGAAAGACAACUAAGUAUCUGCAUCGUAACAGGGAUUCAGUUAUCAGCAACCCAACUUCUCCAAUCUCAGCUCUAGA
rnacentral:lncRNA from 1 species